UACGUAGGGUGCAAGCGUUACUCGGAAUUACUGGGCGUAAAGCGUGCGCAGGCGGUUUUGUAAGUCAGAUGUGAAAUCCCCGGGCUCAACCUGGGAACUGCGUUUGAAACUACAAGGCUAGAGUGUAGCAGAGGGGGGUGGAAUUCCACGUGUAGCAGUGAAAUGCGUAGAGAUGUGGAGGAACACCGAUGGCGAAGGCAGCCCCCUGGGUUAACACUGACGCUCAGGCACGAAAGCGUGGGGAGCAAACAGG
rnacentral:rRNA from 1 species